rnacentral:rRNA from 1 species
UACGUAGGGUGCGAGCGUAAUCGGAAUUACUGGGCGUAAAGCGUGCGCAGGCGGUUCGUUGUGUCGGCGGUGAAAGCCCCGGGCUCAACCUGGGAAUGGCCGUUGAAACUGGCGAACUGGAGUGUGGCAGAGGUUGGUGGAAUUCUCGGUGUAGAGGUGAAAUUCGUAGAUAUCGAGAGGAACAUCGGUGGCGAAGGCGGCCAACUGGACAAAGACUGACGCUGAGACACGAAAGCGUGGGGAGCAAACAGG